CAGUUAUCCAGUAGAGGAAGCACCGAAACACAAAAUGCCUCCUGCUCCCAACUGGUGCACAGCAUGGUAUAGACACAGUUUUUCCCACUCCUUGCUGUCUUGCAGACACCAUGCAUCUCUGGUGGAGUAGUGUCAGAAUGCAGAAGAAAGGGAGCAUGGAGAAAUGAAGGAGGAAGAAUAACUCGUGGCUUUCUGUGUAAUAUUUAUUCUAAUCGCUGUUUGGGACCUCACUGCUGGCUACAACGACACUGACCGUAAAUGGAGAAAAAAUACAGAAAUUGACUUAAACUGAUUGGACUGCUGGAGCAUCUACCACUUGAACAUGGAACUAGCAAUUGCUUCUGACAGCAGCAACAGCAUGGAACCCCUGCAGCCUUUGCCAAGAGAGGGAAUCCCAGUCAAAGGGAGUUAUUGAUGCUAAGUGUUGUAAGGCUAUUGAAGCUUUACAAUAAACAGGAGAGCUUGCAUCUCUGUGCUGAAUCCUCCAUCUUGCAUAAGGCUGGCAAUAUCUGCGGCUAAAACAAGUCAUGUAGAACUAGAGGAACUCUGUUUCUAUUCCCAGAAAGCCAAACUAGCCUUUGUAAAAUGGUACUAAUCCUAUGGAUAACUAAUACAGUGACUUCUGUCUUUUCUUCCUAGGUUAAUGUGCACCUUAGCGUAUUCUUUUUGGAUACUUUCAUUAUUAUUAUUCAGCCAGACAUUGUUUUGAAAUUGUUAGAAUAAUUGAUUUAUAAACCGUCUUCUAACUUGGCCUUUAUUUCAGAGGGACUGACAGUUGCUUUUGUUAAGGUAUAGCCGUGUUCUGCUCAGCUCCCUGCCUUCAAGUCAGGAAAUUGCUUGUGUUUUCAGUUUUAACUAUGUAACUUAUUUCUUUUGAACCAAAAAUAUUUUUGUGACCUCAGAUAAUGGAUCACUUUAUAUGGUAACAUGACAGUAGCAUCUGAAAAGGAUGUGGAAGAUGGGGAAGUGUGAUCCUGAUUCUAGUCUCUUAUGUUAGUUUCAUGCUGGCUUAGCUCAGUUCUGUUCUAUUCAGGAACUUGUGCCACCCCUAUGGUAUCUGAACACCUGCCUUCACACAUUUCCUAACAAGUCCACUGCAUUUAUUGGCUUGAUUCUGUCUGAGACCAGGAUAAAUUAUCUCUUUUAAAUUGAGGGCAUUGCAGCACUGUAAUUGGC